rnacentral:rRNA from 1 species
UUAUUUGAGAGUUUGAUCCUGGCUCAGGAUGAACGCUGGCGGCGUGCCUAACACAUGCAAGUUGAGCGAUUUACUUCGGUAAAGAGCGGCGGACGGGUGAGUAACGCGUGGGUAACCUACCCUGUACACACGGAUAACAUACCGAAAGGUAUGCUAAUACGGGAUAAUAUAUUUGAGAGGCAUCUCUUAAAUAUCAAAGGUGAGCCAGUACAGGAUGGACCCGCGUCUGAUUAGCUAGUUGGUAAGGUAACGGCUUACCAAGGCGACGAUCAGUAGCCGACCUGAGAGGGUGAUCGGCCACAUUGGAACUGAGACACGGUCCAAACUCCUACGGGAGGCAGCAGUGGGGAAUAUUGCACAAU